rnacentral:rRNA from 1 species
GACGAACGCUGGCGGCGUGCUUAACACAUGCAAGUCGAACGGAAAGGCCCUGCUUUUGUGGGGUUCUCGAGUGGCGAAGGGGGGAGUAACACGUGAGUAACCUGCCCUUGACAUUGGGAUAACUUCAGGAAACUGGGGCUAAUACCGCAUAGGAGCUCCUGCUGCACGGUGGGGGUUGGAAAGUUUCGGCGGUUGGGGAUGGACUCGCGGCUUAUCAGCUGGUUGGUGGGGUAGUGGCUUACCAAGGCUUUGACGGGUAGCCUGCCUGAGAGGGUGGCCGGCGACAUUGGGACUGAGAUACGGAGCAGACUGCAACGGGACGCAGUAGUGGGGAGUAUUGCACAAUGGGGGGAAGCCUGAGACAGCAGCGCCGCGUGCGGGAUGACGGCCUACGGGUUGUGAACCACUGUCGCCUGUGAUGAAGCGUGAGUGACGGUAAUGGGUAAAGAAGCACCGGCUAACUACGUG